rnacentral:rRNA from 1 species
GAUGAACGCUGGCGGCGUGCUUAACACAUGCAAGUCGAACGGAAAGGCCCAGGCUUGCUUGGGUACUCGAUUGGCGAACGGGGGAGUAACACAUGGGGGAAAUGCCCUGCACAUCGGGAGAAGCCUUGGAGAAUGGGGAGCAUACCGGGGAGGACAUCAUGAUGGGUGGGGUGGUAGAGAGAUUUUCGGUGUGGGUUGGUCUCGCAGCCUAUCAGGUGGUUGGUCAGGUAGUUGGCUACCAAGGGGUCGACGGGUGGCCGGCCGGAGAGGGUGGACGGGCACAUGGGGACUGCGAGACGGACCAGACGCCUACGGGCGGCAGCAGUGGGGAAUAUUGCAGAAUGGGGGCAAGCCUGAGGCAGCGACGCCGCGUGCGGGAUGACGGCCUUCUGGUUGUAAACUCCUGUCGCAGGGGCCGAACCCGAAUUGACGGUACCUGGAGAAGAAGCACCGGCCAACUACGUG